rnacentral:rRNA from 1 species
GACGAACGCUGGCGGCGUGCUUAACACAUGCAAGUCGAACGGAAAGGCCCCUUUGGGGGUACUCGAGCGGCGAACGGGUGAGUAACAAGUGAGUAACCAGCCCUUGCCUUAGGGUUAACUUAAGGAAACUGACGCUAAUACCGGAUAGGAAUCCUUGCUGCCUGGUGGGGGUUGGAAAGAUUCGGCGGUUUUGGGUGGACUCGCGGCUUUUCCGCUUGCUGGUGGGGUUGGGGGUUACCAAGGCUUUGGUGGGUAGCCGGCCGGGGGGGGCGACCGGCCACCAUGGGACUGAGAUGAGGCCCAGGCUCCGACGGGGGGGAGGAGGGGGGAAGAUUGGACAAUGGGCGGGAGCCUGAUGCAGGAACGCCGGGGGCGGGAAUACGGGCUUCGGGUUGGAAACCGCCUUCAGCAGGUGAGAAGCUGGUGGUGACGGUACCUGCAGAAGAAGCACCGGCUAACUACGUG